UCCGAUGUGGUGUAGUGGCUAUCAUACUGCGCUUUCACCGUCUAACGACUGGGAAGCACCGCAGGGAUCGGGGUUCGAUUCCCCGCAUCGGAG
rnacentral:tRNA from 1 species